CUAGGGGUGCUUCCAUCUGGAGAAUCUGGAGACAGGUGCUGCAUGGCUGUCGUCAGCUCGUGUCGUGAGAUGUUGGGUUAAGUCCCGCAACGAGCGCAACCCUUGCCUUUAGUUGCCAGCAGUUCGGCUGGGCACUCUAAAGGGACUGCCGGUGUUAAACCGGAGGAAGGUGGGGAUGACGUCAAGUCCUCAUGGCCUUUAUGACCAGGGCUACACACGUACUACAAUGGCCGAUACAAAGGGCAGCGACACUGCGAGGUGAAGCCAAUCCCGUAAAAUCGGUCUCAGUCCGGAUUGGAGUCUGCAACUCGACUCCAUGAAGUUGGAAUCGCUAGUAAUCGUGGAUCAGCAUGCCACGGUGAAUACGUUCCCGGGCCUU
rnacentral:rRNA from 1 species